GACGAACGCUGGCGGCGUGCCUAAUACAUGCAAGUAGGACGCAGUUGCGAACGGGUGAGUAACGCGUAGGUAACUACCUAUUAGAGGGGGAUAAACAUUGGCAACGAUAGCUAAAACCGCAUACUUGUAGAUGGACCUGCGUUGGAUUAGCUAGUAGGGUGGGUAAUGGCCUCCCUAGGCAACGAUACAUAGCCGAGCUGAGAGGGGUAUCGGCCACACCGGGACUGAGGCACGGCCCAGACUCCCACGGGAGGCAGCAGUAGGGAAUCUUUGGCAAUGGGGGGAACCCUGACCGCGCAACGCCGGCGUAGGGAAGAAGGUUUUCGGAUCGUAAAGCUCUUUUGUUAAGGAAGCGGUACUUAACCAGAAAGGGACGGCUAACUACGUGCCAGCCGCCGCGGUAAUAC
rnacentral:rRNA from 1 species